rnacentral:rRNA from 1 species
GACGAACGCUGGCGGCGUGCUUAACACAUGCAAGUCGAACGGAAAGGCCCUGCUUUUGUGGGGUGCUCGAGUGGCGAACGGGUGAGUAACACGUGAGUAACCUGCCCUUGACUUUGGGAUAACUUCAGGAAACUGGGGCUAAUACCGGAUAGGAGCUCCUGCUGCAUGGUGGGGGUUGGAAAGUUUCGGCGGUUGGGGAUGGACUCGCGGCUUAUCAGCUUGUUGGUGGGGUAGUGGCUUACCAAGGCUUUGACGGGUAGCCGGCCUGAGAGGGUGACCGGCCACAUUGGGAAUGAGAUACGGCCCAGACUCCUACGGGAGGCAGCAGGGGGGAAUAUUGCACCAUGGGCGGAAGCCUGAUGCAGCAACGCCGCGGGCGGGAUGACGGCCUUCGGGUUGUAAACCGCUUUCGCCUGUGACGAAGCGUGAGUGACGGUAAUGGGUAAAGAAGCACCGGCUAACUACGUG